CCAUCGUCAAGAGGAAAAUCCCGAUGGCCACCAUCCGUCGUCGAUGAAAACAAAGUCUGGAAAGAGCUGAGUCGGAUAAAAAAUGCCGACUUGCAGGACACCAACGAGUUGGAACUCUCCCGGGAAGCCAUGACCCCGAUUGUGGCCAAUGGCGAAGGUGAAAGAGCUGCUGGAUGCCUCACAGAUGACGAUGCGAUCGACCAUCUUCUCUGCACCGUGCUAAAGAGCACCAAGUUGUGUUCACAUCGGCGCCGCAGCCACGGCCUCAUGUGGCGGACGACUUCCACGCCAUAGAGGGCGUGCCAGCAGUGCAGUUUAAGGAGCUAAAGGCAAAGGUGAACAAGCU